GGGCCCGCACAAGCGGUGGAGUAUGUGGUUUAAUUCGAUGCAACGCGAAGAACCUUACCAGGGUUUGACAUCCUGCGAAUCUCUUGGAAACGAGAGAGUGCCUUCGGGAACGCAGUGACAGGUGGUGCAUGGCUGUCGUCAGCUCGUGUCGUGAGAUGUUGGGUUAAGUCCCGCAACGAGCGCAACCCACGUCUUUAGUUGCCAGCAUUUAGUUGGGCACUCUAGAGAGACCGCCGGUGAUAAACCCGGAGGAAGGUGUGGAUGACGUCAAGUCAUCAUGCCCCUUACAUCCUGGGCUACACACGUGCUACAAUGGCCGGUACAGAGAGCAGCCACUUCGCAAGAAGGAGCGAA
rnacentral:rRNA from 1 species